rnacentral:rRNA from 1 species
GACGAACCGUGCAAACGUUAUUCGGAUUCACUGGGCUUAAAGGGCGCGUAGGCGGGUAUCCAAGUCAGGGGUGAAAUCCGGCAGCUCAACUGUCGAAUAGCUUCUGAUACUGGAUGUCUUGAGGGGGGUAGGGGCAUGUGGAACUUCCGGUGGAGCGGUGAAAUGCGUAGAGAUGUGGAGGAACACCAGUGGCGAAGGCGACUCUUUGGCCUGUAACUGACGCUGAGGAGCGAAAGCGUGGGGAGCGAACAGG